rfam:Ovis aries breed Texel chromosome 2, whole genome shotgun sequence.
UCCCUGGUGGUCCAGUGGUUAAGAAUCCAUUCUUCCAACACAGGAAGCCCAGGUUUGAUUCCUGGUCAGGGAA